AUUGAACGCUGGCGGCAUGCUUUACACAUGCAAGUCGAACGGUAACAGGCCGCAAGGUGCUGACGAGUGGCGAACGGGUGAGUAAUGCAUCGGAACGUGCCCAGUCGUGGGGGAUAACGCAGCGAAAGCUGCGCUAAUACCGCAUACGAUCUAUGGAUGAAAGCGGGGGACCGUAAGGCCUCGCGCGAUUGGAGCGGCCGAUGUCAGAUUAGGUGGUUGGUGGGGGAAAGGCUCACCAAGCCGACGAUCUGUAGCGGGUCUGAGAGGACGACCAGCCAGACUGGGAGUGAGCAACGGCCCAGACUCCUACGGGAGGCAGCAGUGGGGAAUUGUGGACAAUGGGCGCAAGCCUGAUCCAGCAAUGCCGCGUGCAGGAAGAAGGCCUUCGGGUUGUAAACGGCUUUUGUACGGAACGAAACGGCUCUGGUUAAUACCUGGGGCUAAUGACGGUACCGUAAGAAUAAGCACCGGCUAACUACGUGCCAGCAGCCGCCGUAAGAC
rnacentral:rRNA from 1 species